rnacentral:rRNA from 1 species
UAAGGCUGGGCUGUGAUGGGGAGGGAAACUUUAAGUACCGUAGGUCAUGAUUUCACACUGCCAAGAAAAGCUUCUAGCCAGGCGAAGGUGCCCGUACCGCAAACCGACACAGGUGGGUGAGAAGAGAAUUCUAAGGCGCGCGGAAGAACUCUCGUUAAGGAACUCGGCAAAAUGACCCCGUAACUUCGGGAGAAGGGGUGCCUCGGUAGGGUGAAUAGCCCGAGGGGGCCGCAGUGAAAAGGCCCAAGCGACUGUUUAGCAAAAACACAGGUCUGUGCGAAGCCGCAAGGCGAAGUAUACGGGCUGACGCCUGCCCGGUGCUGGAAGGUUAAGAGGAGUGGUUAGGGGCAACCCGAAGCUAUGAAUUGAAGCCCCAGUAAACGGCGGCCGUAACUAUAACGGUCCUAAGGUAGCGAAAUUCCUUGUCAGGUAAAUUCUGACCCGCACGAAUGGCGUAACGACUUGGGCGCUGUCUCAACGAGAGAUCCGGUGAAAUUUUAAUACCUGUGAAGAUGCAGGUUACCCGCGACAAGACGGAAAGACCCCAUGGAGCUUUACUGCAGCUUGAUAUUGGACUUUGGUACGAUCUGUACAGGAUAGGUGGGAGCCUUUGAAGCCUGAGCGCCAGCUUGGGUGGAGGCGACGUUGGGAUACCACCCUGAUCGUAUCGGAGUUCUAACCUGGUACCGUGAUCCGGUAUGGGGACAGUGUCAGGUGGGCAGUUUGACUGGGGCGGUCGCCUCCUAAAAUGUAACGGAGGCGUUUAAAGGUUCCCUCAGAAUGGUUGGAAAUCAUUCGCAGAGUGCAAAGGCAUAAGGGAGCUUGACUGCGAGACCUACAAGUCGAGCAGGGACGAAAGUCGGACUUAGUGAUCCGGUGGUACCGAAUGGAAGGGCCAUCGCUCAACGGAUAAAAGCUACCCUGGGGAUAACAGGCUUAUCUCCCCCAAGAGUCCACAUCGACGGGGAGGUUUGGCACCUCGAUGUCGGCUCAUCGCAUCCUGGGGCUGAAGUAGGUCCCAAGGGUUGGGCUGUUCGCCCAUUAAAGCGGUACGCGAGCUGGGUUCAGAACGUCGUGAGACAGUUCGGUCCCUAUCUGUCGCGGGCGUAGGAAAUUUGAGAGGAGCUGUCCUUAGUACGAGAGGACCGGGAUGGACGUACCGCUGGUGUACCAGUUGUCUCGCCAGAGGCAUAGCUGGGUAGCUAUGUACGGAGGGGAUAAGCGCUGAAAGCAUCUAAGCGCGAAGCCCCCCUCAAGAUGAGAUUUCCCAGUAUGUAAGACCCCUUGUAGACGACGAGGUUGAUAGGUUCGAGGUGGAAGUGCGGCAACGUAUGCAGCUGACGAAUACUAAUCGGUCGAGGGCUUAACCUAUAU